rnacentral:lncRNA from 1 species
AGACACCCUUACUAUACCAUUUGCAGAUAAGGACACAUGAAUGGAGACAUUGAAUAACUUACCCAAGAUUCCAUGGCAAUUUUCUGAAGCUCAGAGGGACACCUUGUAUUGCUGGAUGAUAAAAACAGGAGCAAAGUGAUGAAAUGCUGACAAGGCAACAAUAGAACAUGAGAGAUUCACUGCUGUGUAGGAAGAGAUCUUCAGUGACCAUGUAGCCUGAAGCUCUCAUUUUGUCAUCGAGGGACACCAAAACUCAGAACAGCGGAGGUAACUCUACCUUCCUGUACCUUCAUGCCCGGCUUCUUCUACCAUCC